rnacentral:lncRNA from 1 species
CUGCUGGUUUGUUUACAUCGGAAGUGAAAAGGUACCAAAGAAUACAAAAGUGAUGAGACCCUCUUGAGACAAUAAGAUCCAAGAAGAAGAUGCACAAAUACUCGAAAUGGUGUGGUACUUUGAUAACACUUCAACAAGGUGUUCAGGGGAGGAUACCGCCAUUCCUAUCACGCAGAAAAUUAUCAAGAACUCGUAGAGUAUUUACAGCUGAAAACUUCCCUCCAGCUGGACCCGAAAGUGAGAGAACCACUACUCGGCACAACAGCGGAAAAAAUGAAUCAGGAGAGAGCAACGGCAGACUACAAACCUCAGUCCAGUCUACGCCGCCACCUACACCAACCACUUGCUGCAUG